AGGAAUAUUGGUCAAUGGCCGUAAGGCUGAACCAGCCAAGUAGCGUGAGGGAAGACUGCCCUAUGGGUUGUAAACCUCUUUUAUGCGGGGAUAAAGGUGUCCACGUGUGGAUGUUUGCAGGUACCGCAUGAAUAAGGACCGGCUAAUUCCGUGCCAGCAGCCGCGGUAAUACGGAAGGUCCGGGCGUUAUCCGGAUUUAUUGGGUUUAAAGGGAGCGUAGGCCGGUCUUUAAGCGUGCCGUGAAAUUUUGUGGCUCAACCAUGAGAGUGCGGCGCGAACUGGAGACCUUGAGUGCGCGGAAGGCAGGCGGAAUUCGUGGUGUAGCGGUGAAAUGCUUAGAUAUCACGAAGAACCCCGAUUGCGAAGGCAGCCUGCCGCAGCGUUACUGACGCUGAAGCUCGAAAGCGCGGGUAUCGAACA
rnacentral:rRNA from 1 species